GCCUGGGUGGCUCAGUCGGUUGAGCAUCCGACUUCGGCUCAGGUCAUGAUCUCGCAGUUUGUGGGUUUGAGCCCCGUAUCGGGCU
rfam:Felis catus isolate Cinnamon breed Abyssinian chromosome D3, whole genome shotgun sequence.